CAUUAACGAAUAUAAUUCGAGGGGUUGUCGCUGGCCUCGCUCGCGCGAGGCAUGUGCACGCUUCUCGUUUUUCUCUCAACUCACCUGUGCACCUAAUGUAAGAUGCCUCUCCUCCGGGAGGGGGGACCUAUGUCUUCGUAACAUCUUCGUGUAAAAAGUCUUUGAAUGUUUACUAUCAUCGAGUCGCGACUUCUAAGAGACGCGGUUCUUUGAGAUAAAAGUUAUUACAUCUUUCAGCAACGGAUCUCUUGGCUCUCGCAUCGAUGAAGAACGCAGCGAAAAGCGAUAUGUAGUGUGAAUUGCAUAUCUACAGUGAAUCAUCAAAUCUUUGAACGCACCUUGCGCUCCUCGGUGUUCCGAGGAGCAUGCCUGUUUGAGUGUCAGUAAAUUCUCAACCCCUCUCGAUUAGCUUCGAGAGGGCGCUUGGAUAGUGGAGGUUGCCGGAGACUUGGAUUCCUCCGAGACUCGGGCUCUUCUGAAAUGCAUUGGCUUGCGGUCGACUUUCGACUAUGUGCGACAAGGCUUUCGGCGUGAUAAUGAUCGCCGUUCGCUGAAGCACAUGACUGAACGUCCCGUGCCUCUAAUAUGUCCACCGCUUAUUAUCUCUCCAGAGAGAACAGGCUCUUCCUUAUUGACUUUUGACCUCAAAUCAGGUAAGACUACCCGCUUGAACUUAAAUAUAUCAAUAAGCGG
rnacentral:rRNA from 1 species